rnacentral:rRNA from 1 species
GAUGAACGCUGGCGGCGUGCCUAAUACAUGCAAGUCGAGCGAACGGACGAGAAGCUUGCUUUUCUGAUGUUAGCGGCGGACGGGUGAGUAACACGUGUAUAACCUACCUAUAAGACUGGGAUCACUUCGGGAAACCGGAGCUAAUACCGUAUAAUAUUUUGCACCGCAUGGUUCAAAAGUGAAAGACGGUCUUGCUGUCACUUAUCGAUGGAUCCGCGCUGCAUUAGCUAGUUGGUAAGGUAACGGCUUACCAAGGCAACGAGGCAUAGCCGACCUGAGAGAGUGAUCGGCCACACUGGAGCUGAGACACGGUCCAGACUCCUACGGGAGGCAGCAGUAGGGAAUCUUCCGCAAUGGGCGAAAGCCUGACGGAGCAACGCCGCGUGAGUGAUGAAGGUCUUCGGAUCGUAAAGCUCUGUUAUUAGGGAAGAACAUAUGUGUAAGUAACUGUGCACAUAUUGACGGUACCUAAUCAGAAAGCCACGGCUAACUACGUG